UUGCAAGAUUGUCUAAAAAAAACAUAAAAUCUCUUCCUUUACUUACCUUGCGUAGAAAGAUAAAGUCAAACCAAAUCGGUUAUAAUGAGAUCAAGCAUCAACAAACGGCAUUUUCUCCAUGUUUCUCGAGUCAAGAAAAGAGAGUUCCGUGGGCGACCCGAAUCAUCCCACCAAAACUCGAGUUAUUUAUUUAUUUAUUUAUUUAUUUUGAAGGGAAAAAGAUUGAUAAGGGAGGGGGACACAAUGAAGAUGAACAGCAAAGAAAUUCAUGCGGGACAAAAGGAAUAGAAAAGGGGCAAAGAAGAUAAGCAGCUUUGUUGAACCUUUAUUUUCUUGCCCACCUUUAGCCUUCUGCCAGUCGACACCUUUUUUCAU
rnacentral:lncRNA from 1 species